UACGUAGGCAGCGAGCGUUGUUCGGAGCUACUGGGCGUAAAGGGUGUGUAGGCGGUUGUUUAAGUUUGGUGUGAAAUCUCCCGGCUCAACUGGGAGGGUGCGCCGAAUACUGAAUGACUUGGAGUGCGGGAGAGGAGAGUGGAAUUCCUGGUGUAGCGGUGAAAUGCGUAGAUAUCAGGAGGAACACCGGUGGUGUAGACGGCUCUCUGGACCGUAACUGACGCUGAGACACGAAAGCGUGGGUAGCAAACAGG
rnacentral:rRNA from 1 species